GGGGAGGCUUACCGCCAGUCCGAGCGAAGCGGNUGUGCGGAAUUUUUCGGAAGGAAGCAAAGCUGACUGAGCGGCGGACGGGUGAGUAACGCGUGGAUAACCUGCCUCAUACAGGGGGAUAACAGUUAGAAAUGACUGCUAAUACCGCAUAAGCGCACAGAGAUGCAUGUCUCAGUGUGAAAAGCUGAGGCGGUAUGAGAUGGAUCCGCGUCUGAUUAGCUGGUUGGCGGGGUAGAGGCCCACCAAGGCGACGAUCAGUAGCCGACCUGAGAGGGUGGCCGGCCACAUUGGGACUGAGACACGGCCCAAACUCCUACGGGAGGCAGCAGUGGGGGAUAUUGCACAAUGGGGGAAACCCUGAUGCAGCAACGCCGCGUGAGUGAAGAAGUAUUUCGGUAUGUAAAGCUCUAUCAGCAGGGAAGAGAAUGACGGUACCUGACUAAGAAGCCCCGGCUAACUACGUGCCAGCAGCCGCGGUAAUACGUAGGGGGCGAGCGUUAUCCGGAUUUACUGGGUGUAAAGGGAGCGUAGACGGCUGGUCAAGUCUGAAGUGAAAGCCCGGGGCUUAACCCCGGAACGGCUUUGGAAACUGAGCAGCUAGAGUGCUGGAGAGGUAAGCGGAAUUCCUAGUGUAGCGGUGAAAUGCGUAGAUAUUAGGAGGAACACCAGUGGCGAAGGCGGCUUACUGGACAGUAACUGACGUUGAGGCUCGAAAGCGUGGGGAGCAAACAGGAUUAGAUACCCUGGUAGUCCACGCGGUAAACGAUGAAUGCUAGGUGUCGGGAGGCAAAGCCUUUCGGUGCCGCCGCAAACGCAGUAAGCAUUCCACCUGGGGAGUACGUUCGCAAGA
rnacentral:rRNA from 1 species